UUUCCGUAGGUGAACCUGCGGAAGGAUCAUUACCGAGUGCGGGUUUCUCAGGCACUAUCUCCAACUCCGCGUUUUUGUGACCUUGUUGCAUGUUCGGUUCCCCUCGUACAAACAUCGCCUGAAGCACACCGCUUUGGGACAGUACCCGCCAGCUUCUCCCUUCAAAUCUUAAUAAACCCGCCGUCUGAGACUAGUCAUAAUAAAGAAAACUUUCAACAACGGACCCCUUUGAUCACGCAGCGAUGCAGAACGCAGCAGAUCGGAAGAGCAAAAAUCAGA
rnacentral:misc_RNA from 1 species